AUGGUUACCUCCUCCUAUUUUGAGAGAACAAUCCACACUUUUCAUCUUCAUCUAUAUUCUAUUGCCAAAACAAACUCACUCUCCAGUUACCCCCUUUCUCCACUUCGAACCACCGUCAACCCUCUCUUCCUAUAUCUGCGACCACCACUGGAACCACCACCACCAAGAAAUGAAGAGUUUGCAAUGAUAGUUUUUCACAUCUCAAGCUUAACAACAGUGAGCUACUCUUUCACCUCUGAUGUCGGCAACUAUUCAUCCACCUCCGAAGCCUCCAUGGAUACUCUAUACCUUGUAGCCUCUGUCAGAUUUGUCUAA